rnacentral:rRNA from 1 species
UACGUAGGGUGCGAGCGUUAAUCGGAAUUACUGGGCGUAAAGCGUGCGCAGGCGGCGUUGUAAGACAGAUGUGAAAUCCCCGGGCUCAACCUGGGAACUGCCUUUGUGACUGCAAGGCUGGAGUACGGCAGAGGGGGAUGGAAUUCCGCGUGUAGCAGUGAAAUGCGUAGAUAUGCGGAGGAACACCGAUGGCGAAGGCAAUCCCCUGGGCCUGUACUGACGCUCAUGCACGAAAGCGUGGGGAGCAAACAGG